rnacentral:lncRNA from 1 species
AGCCGAGUAUAAAUAUUGACAUUGAUUAUGACCAGAUUUAAUAGCAUAAAGAAAGAUGCAUUAAAUAACGUUAAGUGGCAAUAAAACGUAAAUAAAGAAAAAGAUUCACCCAAUAUGGAGUGAGACGGAUCUUCUUUCAUUUGAUAAAGAUGAAUGAUAGAAAAAUGCAAGAACCUUAGGACCCUUGUUGGAUUUGAUGAAGGUCUGGGAUCACAGAUCCUCCCAUCUCUUUAGAGAGAUGUGUUUACAUAUUUUCUAGAGAGAGGGAGAGGGAAAGAGCACGAGCCCCCCCCCCCCUCUUGGGAAGUCCUCCAUUCCUAUUUAUAAGGGGUGUUCCUAGAAAAACCCUAAAAGAAAAGGUACAAUUAGAGGGAAUAUUCCUUUUGAGGAUUCCAUAGCAGACUAGUUGUUUCAUCACUGCCCGACCUUAGCUUUAUUGAUGAUUGUCUGACCUCGGCUUGUCCGACCUCAGCCUUACGUCUCCGCGUGCCGAAUUUCUCUGAUCUAAUUUUGACCUAUACAAACGGUACAAUACAAUCCAAUACGAUACAUUAUAAAACGACAUAUAACUAAGAACCAUCCAAACAAACUUUAAUGGGGAACUAAAAGAAAAGAAGUUAGGAGUGUUUGCAUAUAUAUAUAUAUAUUUGCUUACUGGUAUAGUUGGAGCUUUCCCAGAAUACAUGUCUCCUAAUUGAUUGCUCCAUUGAAGAUUGUAAAGAGGUUUUUAUAAAGCUUGAAGAACAGAAUGCAGCAGCCGUUACUUUCACUUCUUUCUCUCCUUCAAUUGCAGCAGUAUUUAUACUCUCAACGAAUUAAACAGUCCAACCGUGAGAUAUCCAUGACAUUCCAUGGUCUUGUCUUGUCUUGUCCUGUCUUGUCAUGUCGUGUCGUGUCUUGUCUUGUCCCGUGUUACCAUCCCUAAACUCAACUCUGCCCCAUGCAUAUUUUCUUUUUCCAACUCUUUGUAGUUAAUGAAGAUUCAUAUUAUAUUUUAUAUUUUUCAAGUAUUUUUGUAUUGAUGGCAGUAUGUUAUAAAUAAUAGAAAGAAUUACAAAAAAAUAUAUUUGAUUUCAC